CGAACGCUGGCGGCAGGCUUAACACAUGCAAGUCGAACGCGUGUAGCAAUACACGAGUGGCGCACGGGUGAGUAACGCGUGGAUAUCUGCCUUUUGGUUCGGAAUAACUCCGGGAAACUGGAGCUAAUACCGGAUGGUUCCUACGGGAUAAAGAUUUAUCGCCAAAAGAUGAGUCCGCGUACGAUUAGCUAGUUGGUGAGGUAAUGGCUCACCAAGGCGACGAUCGUUAGCUGGUCUGAGAGGACGAUCAGCCACACUGGGACUGAGACACGGCCCAGACUCCUACGGGAGGCAGCAGUGGGGAAUAUUGGACAAUGGGGGCAACCCUGAUCCAGCCAUGCCGCGUGAGUGUGAAGGGCUUCGGGUUGUAAAGCUCUUUUGGCGGGGACGAUGAUGM
rnacentral:rRNA from 1 species